UGAAGAAAACUACCACCACCAUCAAACAACUAAUUUUUUCCUGCAGGUACCACAGGGCUCCUGGAACUGUCCAUGGUGCUGAAUGUCUUUUUCCUUCUUGCCACGGUCUGCCUCAGAAUGGCUACUUCCAAAAGGCAACUUGUGUGUUGUUCACUGGAAUUCCUCAGGCUCCUUGGACCUCCACCAGGUGAAUCCUGUGACUUAAGCAGCCUGAGACCUUGGCAGCUCAUUUUCUUCCUCUCCCGAUCUGCAUUUCCCAUAAGAUGGCAUGGCCCAAGAGAAAAACCCUGGUAUGUCUCUCCAGUCCACCUCCUAAACAUUUCUUCAUCUAUACCUUGCCUCCAUCCCCAGAAUAUCAUCUUAGACCAUCACUGGUUCUCUUUUUCUGAAUUUGCUUAG
rnacentral:lncRNA from 1 species